UGUAAUGGCCACAAUAAAAUACACAAUGCUUUGGGGAGCCCUUUUAAAAAGGCAGUUACAAACAAAUGUAGGUUUAUUCACUGAAAGCAUGAAACUGAAAAUGAGGGGAAAAUACAGAUCCCUGUAUGAUGAUGUAGAGAUGUAAAUCCAUUCUUUAUCAUUGAACAAAAGCAGUAGCUAACAACAGUAAAAUAGUAUCAAUACUAAACAGAACUGCGCACUGGUCUUGAUGCAUCCAUUUAGACCCAGCAAUUUAAAGCAAAAAGCUCUGGUAAUUUAACAGAUGGCAUGCAACUACAUAGAGCUGGUUAAUGUUACCAAACAUAUUUAGGGGGAUAACCAUGUCAAAGAAUUUGUGUUCCUUUAAACGGCGAAUAAGGCGCUCAACAUGCACUCUCAGAUAUGCAAUAGUCUGGGUCUCCCUGACCUCGUGUGCAGGCAUCUGAAAUCUCCCAGAAAGAAAUGCAGGCCUGUACACUUUACAGGGCACACAGUCAUCCUUAAGAAAGCCCAGGGGCGAAAAUUUCAUCAAAAUGUUGGGGGGACAAUAAACAUAACGAUUCUCAAGAGCAAUUUUUGAAGGGGACACCAAGGGAUUUUUUUGUUGUUGCCACGUUUGCAUUUGUAUUAUUUUAUUUCUUAAACAAUUAUUUUAAAAAUAUAUCAUUAUAUUAUUUACACUACACAUAUUUUAAUGAUAUUUUAGGGGGGGACAACCUAAGUGAUGUAAGUAUUCCUGACUCUUCAAAGAUCUGCUUGUCACUUACUGAGCCAGCAAAGAGGGGAGAAACAAAGGUUAUAGCACCAUGGGGGGCCGUUGUUGGUCGCCGGAGGGGUAAGUUUGAAAACUAAUAGCCGAAUUGAAUUUAGCUGAGGAUGAACAAUGAGGGACGCAACAGUGCCCAGCUGAAGUCCACUCAAAAUGCUGAAAUUUAAACGUCUUUUUCAUUUCGUUCACUUAUUUUUGUAAUCGAUUUAAACAAGUGAAUAACUGUGUGCAAAAAAAAAAAAAGAUUGAUAUCGCCUGACAGGCUAUAUUUACACUGUCUAUCAUAAAAUUUAAUAUGCCGCUACAGCAAGUGACGUUUCACCGGAAGUUUUUGAGCUGGCUUAUAUUAUUCCGGAAGUUGUCAUUAACGUUCCAUGCAUAUAGCCCAUUGCAAGCCUGUGCAAUUUUGUAAAAUACAAAGAUGUAUCGCCCUGCCACAUGUAUAUUUAUUUAUAAGCUGGAAGGGAGCCAUAAUCAUUCUGAGGAAGAAAGGGAGGACGUCACUAGGCGGGGACCUUCCUGGGUUUUCUGAACCCCACCAGAAGUGGGUGUUUAACUGGAUGCUGCAACACGCUGUUUUGUAUUGGUAUAAGUGUCAAGUAAAGCAGCUAAGGUGUGGAAUCAAAGAAACCAAGAUCUGGUCAUUGAUCACUGUACGAGAAGAUGCAAUUAAAGCUGUCUUCCCCAGGUCGUUCUCCAGCACAUUGCUUGGUUUGUUGCAGACUCUGAUGAUGAUGAUUUUAGACUGCGGUCAAGUGGGCCGCGCGUUGAAAAUACACGGUCAAGCCAGCCGCACAUUUUUUUAGUAUGCGCGUCUAAUCGUGUACUUACGGUAUGGGUGCUGAAAGAGGUCAAACUUGAUUUUUAGACUCUAUUUUCUGCUAUUUUCCAUCUUAUUAGGACACAAAUAAUAUUAUUUUUUUUUUUACUAUUUUAAUGUUUGUAUGCCUAAAUAUGAUUAACAUUAAUUAUUACAUAAUUUAUUCAUGUUCAUAUUCAUUUUAAU